rnacentral:tRNA from 1 species
UCCCUGGUGGUCCAGUGGCUAGAACUCUGUGCUGCCAAUGUAGAGGCCAUGGGUUCAAUCCCCAGUCAGGGAA